CUCAUCUUCCACCUAAAAAUAAUUAAAACAUUUAAAAGUCCAGUUUAUUCAAAGUGGCAAAAUAGAAAAUCAUUAAAUGCUUCUUUCUUAUAGGACAUUAUAUGAACACAAUUCUGGGGUUUAUUCAAGUGUUAUAAUCCAAAUCUUAAGUGGUAAAGCAAAAGAUCUUUGUGCCACAAAGACAAAAUUCUAAAAGAAUUUUUUACUUGUCAACCAAGAAUUAUUGAGUAGCCCAUUUUGGGAAAAGCACAGAUGUAGAUUCCAUAGGAAGCUAUAAAUGAAAAACAGUUAAUACAUACAUAGAUAUAAGUCCAUACAAAGACAGAAGUAUCAUCUCUAAAAGAACUCCAUAAUAAAGAUCUCCCUACUUUUAACUAAUGACCUACUUUUUCCAAGUUUAUAUGAUACAAAAUACUAGUGCAACAAAAACAAAACAAAACAAACAAACAAACAAACAAAAAAACCCAGACAGUCCUUUAAAGUUUAUGGUACCAGGAUAUCACCUAUAUAUAAAACUAUAGACUACUUACUUCAAAGUGAAGAAAUAAACACUUUAGUAUUAGGAUAAGAGAUGUGUAUCAAUUGAGUGAAGUUAUUCAAGGAAAGUUGAAUGAGGAAUGUGACUUUGUAGCCAAGUUUAGAAGAAGGAGAGGGCUAAGGCUUAGCACAGGAAUCAGGAGGAAGGGCACUUUGGGAAGGAAAAAAACACAAUAAGAAGCAACUCAUAUGCAGAGGACAGAAGACAGUCUUUUUAUGGAUAGAGGAAAGUUCUCAUCUGGGAAAAGCAAGAAAUAAAGGUAAUUUGAUGAAGAGAACAAUUGAUAGAGGUCCUAGUUCCACAUGUCUGAGUAUUCUGGCUUGAUGGAGAGAAAAUGGGAAAUGAUAUUCUGAGUGACAGUUAAAAAAACACACUUUCAGAAGACAGUUAUGACUAUGGUCAUCUGUAUGGUCCAACAGACAAGUUGGAGACCAGAUAAUAGACAGAUUGACUAGAUAGCUACAGUAAGUCAUAUGAACAUGAGAUAACUACAGAUCUGGGAUCUAUAGCGAAGGUGUAAAAAAUUUAAAAGGGGCAGAAUUGGUGGAAUUGUAAAAUAUGACCUGGUAAAGAAAAUUGACUAGGUACUAAGAUUAUAAGUUUGAAAGUUGACAAGGAUGAUGUAAUGGUAUCUUUCACAGGAGGUAAAGGGUAGAUGUUGACACAUUAAAAAAAAAAUCAAGCUUUUGCUAUAUCUCCCUUACAAGGGCUUUCAAAUUUAUAUCAAAAAUUCUGUUUUUUCUCUCUAAUUCAUUCCUUUUAACUAAUCUGCUUUCUCUUAGAAAUUUAAUUUCUCUGGUUGAAAAUUAGGAUUGUAACAUUUGACAUAAAGUUAUUACCUUUGCAAAUAACUCUAUCCCCUUGUAUCAAAAACUUUUAUUCUGCAGUAAAGGAAAAACAGCCUCACUAUGUUAAGGGACAGAAAAUAUAUGUGCUUUAAAAUAACAUUUCAUUGCAACCUUGGAAACUGCUAUGUCUUUCAGAAUUAAUUUCAUAGAAUAUCUGAAAAUAUUACAUCUUUUUUUCCCCUCCCCUUCACCAGAUUCUGCUACAAUCAAAUUGAGAUUCUAAAAACUGUUUCUGGAACAAAUAAUAAAACCUCAUGUAUUUGAAUACCACAAAUUCAACUUGAGGAAAAAAAUGGGAAAAUGUCUAUACCUUUCUUUACUCUGCCACCUUUCUUUUAUAAAGAUAGUAACAGGAAUUUUUUUUUUUACAAGAAAAAUACAACUUAAAAGAUGAGAAAAAGAAGGAAUACAUGUACAGGCACAUACUAUUUGAUAAUAAAUAUAUAAUGUUUUAUAAUAUGCCAAACCUUAAAUUAUUUGAUACUACCAUUUGAGAGAUAUGCCUAAAUUAAAGUAUUCCUUCUAUGGUUUGCUAGUUAUCCUACUUAGCUAUAAAUAUAGGCUCUUGCUACAAUUUUGAUUAAAAUAACUAAAAAAAAUUGCUAACUUUGUCAGAAAGUCAGUAAGUAACAACUGAUUUGUACAAAUAAAAAAAUCUGUAUAAACUACUUACAGGAACGUGAAGUCAUAAUUCAACAUUUUUAUAAAGCCCUAUUUGCCUAAUCUUUUAAGAAAACAGUUUAACAAUCAGUUAUUAAUUACUAAUGUAAUACUGAUUUAAUAGUUUUAAGUUGAAAAGUUAGCUUAUGCUGAUAUAAUACUAUUUAAGAAAAAAAAUGAUAAGCCAAAAAAAUCAAAGACUAAAUUUAUUAUCUCAUUGAAAAUGUGUUAUUUCAUCUUCAGGGAUCCCUCCUUUCCUGACAUAUUCCUUAAGUAAGUGCUGGUUUUACAGAUUAAUAUUUGAAAGAAAAUUUGAAGACAGAGAAAAGUAAGAUAUCAGGGGAACUAUUUUCAACCGCUUGAUGAAAAUAAAAACAAAACAGCUCUGAAAUUACAAAUUAAGUCCACAAGAAAAUAUGCUUUGAAUAUAUUUUCCCUGAGAUUCAGUUUACACAUAACCUUUAAAAUAUAUUGCUUGAAUCAAGUGAAGCAACUCUAUAUAAUAGGGAAAGUUGGCCUUUUUAUAUAGUCUUGCUCUAGUAUAGUUAAAAAAAAAAUUCCCCAUAAGUAUCUAUAGAUAAACAAUUCAAUUUUGUUCAUUUCUGACUUUAUUUUCAUUUAACAAGAGUAUCCAUGCAUCAAAUUUACUUGUACUUUAAUCUUUAAAAAGAAGUUAGUGGGUCUUAAAUUUGAAAUAUUAAAGGAAAUAAUAGGCAUUAUAGUUAUGGAACAAAAGUCUAGUUUUAGGGUAAAAACAACUUGGCUUCAAGUUCUCUGUGACAGAUUCAGGCUUGGGAACCCAGACCUAGUCACUUAAUUUCUCAGUAUUUCCUUGAAAUUCUCUUGAAUAAAUUGUAGAAUAGUUUGACUCAUCUUCCUUAAUGGGAAUGCUCUAUACUGAUGGAACCAAGUUUUAAAAAAAAGGAAGUUUUUAAUCUUAGGCUAACUUGGGGGAAAAAAAAUUAGUAAAAAUGUACAAAACUAAAAGAAAGUACUAUAAAGAUGACGAGACACUAACAAGUAUCUAAUACACGAUAUGAACUGAGGUCGUCUUCACUCCAAAUCCAGAACCUGUUAUAUACUAUUCUUCAAAUACUAUCUAAAUAUUAACUACUUUAUUAACUAAAAUUAGAAAUUCCUAAUACAAACAGAUAUAAUAACCAAUUUUAUGUUAAGACUGAAAUAUAAUGAUAGUGUGCUAAAGACGUAUGUAGAUUUAAAUAACUAGCUUUAACUUUUUUCUAAGGUCAAGUUUGUGGUUUUUUUGGUAGGUAUAUUUUUCCAAGCCCUCAUUAAGAAAAUUAUAAACAUCAACAAGUUAAGAAAAGCCCUCAAAGAAACACCAUUAGAGAGGAGUAACAACAAAAGGAAAAAAGUUGGAAAUGGAGAUUUAGGAUGGACUUUUCUGUGAAACAUACUGAUCAAUUCACAGUAGAGGUGACAACCACUAGGAAGACUGAGAGAAUGUUCUUCAGGAGUACUGUCUGAGGAAACAGGAGUACAUAGACUGGAGAAGAGAGAGGAAUGUAUGGAAAAAAAUGAUCAGAAACUGAGACGUGAGAGAGCUUUCCAGAAAUGAAGAGGCCCAGAACAAAUAAGGUGAUGCUAACCAACAAGGAGGUUGGAGUCCUGAUGCUAUUACUACCUACGUGACCUUGAGCAAGACACUUACUUUCAGCUUCUUGAUCUACAAAAUUAAAGGACUGGACUAAAUAACAAGUCUAAAUUUCAGGUUGGAGAGAAAAUACUUUUAUUUAUUUUCUUAGCCUAAAGACUGCUCUAAUGAACUUAGGAAAACAUUACCUGACUAUCUUUCCUUUAUUUUGUAGCAUUUAUUCAUAAAUGCCUUAAGGUGUUUACUAAAUCUAGGUUACAUUUCUUUCUGUGAUUAAUGAUUUCUUUAUUGAUUUAUCUGCUUAUUAUAUUUAAGAUCUUUGAUUUCUCUUCUUCCUAAGAU